rnacentral:sRNA from 1 species
UUUCUCAAAAUAUGCUUUUGCAUGCUCAGUCGAAGAGGACAGCCUUCCCCAAAUAGAGAUGGACUGGUCUUUGGUCAAGGUUAUACAAGUAGCUACGCUCCCUUGCUAGAACCUCCAAACAACCUCUCAAAACAUGCUUUCUCUAAAUAUACUAAAAUGGUGAGAAAAAUUAGGGAAAUAUC